GUGCCAGCAGCCGCGGUAAUACGGGGGGAGCAAGCGUUGUUCGGAUUUACUGGGCGUAAAGGGCGCGUAGGCGGCCAGCGCAAGUCAGUUGUGAAAUCUCCGGGCUUAACUCGGAAAGGUCAACUGAUACUGCGCGGCUAGAGUGCAGAAGGGGCAACUGGAAUUCUCGGUGUAGCGGUGAAAUGCGUAGAUAUCGGAAAGAACACCGGUGGCGAAGGCGGCCAUCUGGACCGGCACUGACGCUGAGGCGCGAAAGCGUGGGGAGCAAACAGGAUUAGAUACCCUGGUAGUCCACGCCCUAAACGAUGUCAACUAGGUGUUGGGGAAGCGAUUUCCUAGUACCGCAGCUAACGCGUGAAGUUGACCGCCUGGGGAGUACGGUCGCAAGAUUAAA
rnacentral:rRNA from 1 species